rnacentral:tRNA from 1 species
CCUUCGAUAGCUCAGUUGGUAGAGCGGAGGACUGUAGAUCCUUAGGUCGCUGGUUCGAAUCCGGCUCCACGAA